rnacentral:rRNA from 2 species
CCUGGUGGUCAUAGCGAGGGUUCUGCACCCGAUCCCAUUCCGAACUCGGACGUGAAACCCCUCUGCGCCGAUGGUACUGCACUACGGAAGUGCGGAAGAGUAGGUCGCUGCCAGGC